GCAUCAGUGGUCUAACGGUUAUGAUCCGGUCUUCCCAUUUGCUAUAGUUAAGGAUUUGGUUUGGCCGGGAAAGGGGUUCGACUCCCCUCUGAUGCA